rnacentral:lncRNA from 1 species
AACUGAGCUUCAAUUGAAUCAUUUUCUGAUUAAUACUUUUAUACAUUUUCUCUAAGAUUAGGAGAAAGCAUAACUUGUUCUUAAAGGAUUAGAAAGAGUGAUUACUAUAAAUUCUGAAUAAUUCUAGAUCACUCUACAUUCUUGAUAUUACAGAAUUUCAGUGUUAUUCACGUUUAUCACUAAAAUCUGAAAUUCAACAAUUAAAAUGAUUAAAGAAGAAUGCAUCUUUUGAGGGAGAGCUUUAGAUAUUCAGUAUCCUAUCCCAAAGACACUUUAUUUUGAUGCAUACUUUGAAUUUUAUGGAUUGAUUUUGAUGAACCUCCUUAUAUUGCAAGACAUGCUUUAAUUUCCUUGAGAUGAGUUCUAUAAAGGUUGUCUUAUCUCAAACUAUAUUUUUUGAGAUUGACAAUCUUAUUGAACAUUAUCUUAGGAUUCUAAACUCUUAAAUGGAAUGAUCAAUUGAGGGGGAGAAAGAAAAUUUCAGAAGGAGAGGUCUUAUGGAACUUAAUUACAUAAAUCUAUAGGAGAGGGAAAGAAUACUAAAUGAAAAGUGAUCCUAAUACUCUCCAAUAUGUAUCAUCUGAAAUUUAAAUCUGAAAAUCUUUAUGAUACACCUUGAGGCAUGUUAUUUGGUUAAUAUAUCUUCUGCACAAAUCAUGAACCAAAUUGCAAUUCAAAUAGUUGAUCUUAAGAGCCUCUAAUUUAAUGAAAAAAGG